ACAUGGACUUUGACGGCGACG
rnacentral:miRNA from 1 species